rnacentral:rRNA from 1 species
UGCCAGACUCCUACGGGAGGCAGCAGUGGGGGAUAUUGCACAAUGGGGGGAACCCUGAUGCAGCGACGCCGCGUGGGUGAAGGAGUGCUUCGGCAUGUAAAGCCCUAUCGGCAGGGAAGAAGCAAGACGGUACCUGACUAAGAAGCCCCGGCUAACUACGUGCCAGCAGCCGCGGGAAUACGUAGGGGGCGAGCGUUAUCCGGAUUCACUGGGUGUAAAGGGAGCGUAGACGGCCAUGCAAGCCAGGGGUGAAAGCCCGGGGCCCAAUCCCGGGACUGCCCUUGGAACUGCAUGGCUGGAGUGCGGGAGGGGCAGGCGGAAUUCCUGGUGUAGCGGUGAAAUGCGUAGAUAUCAGGAGGAACACCAGUGGCGAAGGCGGCUUACUGGACUGUAACUGACGUUGAGGCUCGAAAGCGUGGGGAGCAAACAGGAUUAGAUACCCCAGUAUCC